AUCAACGCUGGCGGCGUGCCUCAGACAUGCAAGUCGAACGAUUAAAGCUCUCUUCGGAGAGUGUAUAGAGUGGCGCACGGGUGAGUAACACGUAAGUAAUCUACCUUCGAGUGGGGAAUAACGUUCGGAAACGAACGCUAAUACCGCAUAAUGCAGCGGCAUCGCAAGAUGACAGUUGUUAAAGGAGCAAUUCGCUUGAAGAGGAGCUUGCGGCAGAUUAGCUAGUUGGUAAGGUAAUGGCUUACCAAGGCUACGAUCUGUAACCGGUCUAAGAGGACGGUCGGUCACACUGACACUGAAUAACGGGUCAGACUCCUACGGGAGGCAGCAGUCGGGAAUUUUGGGCAAUGGGCGAAAGCCUGACCCAGCAACGCCGCGUGAAGGAUGAAGUAUUUCGGUAUGUAAACUUCGAAAGAAUAGGAAGAAUAAAUGACGGUACUAUUUAU
rnacentral:rRNA from 1 species